rnacentral:rRNA from 1 species
UACGUAGGGCGCAAGCGUUGUCCGGAAUUAUUGGGUUUAAAGGGUGCGUAGGCGGUCUUUUAAGUCAGUGCUGAAAUAUCCCGGCUUAACCGGGAGGGUGGCAUUGAUACUGAAGGACUUGAGUUCAGUCGAGGUAGGCGGAAUUGACGGUGUAGCGGUGAAAUGCUUAGAUAUCGUCAAGAACACCGAUAGUGUAGACAGCUUACUAGGCUGAAACUGACGCUGAGGCACGAAAGUGUGGGGAUCAAACAGG